rnacentral:tRNA from 2 species
GGGGAUGUAGCUCAGAUGGGAGAGCACCUGCUUUGCAAGCAGGGGGUCAGCGGUUCGAUCCCGCUCAUCUCCACCA